GCAGGUUUAUAAUAUGUAUGUUUUAGCCAUGUUUCUAAACCGUGUCUGAAUAUUUUUUGCUGCAAGUUUACGGUAUACCCAGGUUAUUAAGCCCAGACACACCACCUGAAUAUAUGGUUUUACCAUAGGACUCAAAUGGGCGCGCUAACUUUAGGUGAUGCGUUUCUAUUGAAUAACCCUGUAUAUUUCGAAUUUCAUCUACCGAAUGACAUAUGAUUUAAUAUGUUAAAUAUCUAGAGCCUCGAAUCGCGAUGACAUUUUGGCAAUCCUGUCAACUAUUUUGAUACGGGCCCAAACGAAGAUCGUGACGUUGAAAAAUCCUUCCCAGGACCCAUUUCAUUGACCCCAAUGGUGCUAUGCUUGUGAGACCCAAAAGGUUGUACUUCAUUAAACGAAUAGCCUAGUGAUAUUAACCUCUGGAAGAUGGGGAUUUUUCAGCUAUACAUCACUUUCAUUUUUCUCGUACAGUAGCACUUUACUAUAUGUUAAAUUCUUUUAUUUGACGUUUUAAUUCAUAUUACGUAUUACUUAUUAUGUAUUGAACCAUAUCAAUGCAUAUUCUAAGCUCCAAGUCAAAAACUGUAGAAGUUAAAAAAUCUGUCCGUUCUCUGAAGGUUAACAGAAGACCCGACUGCAUCAAGCGUAAUAACUCGAUAAAGAUUCGAUACAAGACCCUUGGGGAACUUUCUCGUCAAGAUGAGAAGCGAAUCAAUUCACAUGGAACAAGUUAAUGGUAAAAAUCCGAGAAGAGAAGUCUUUUAGAUGAGAAAGAAUGAUAAGACGAUAAGGCCCACUAGGUGCUUUGGGGGGGCCUUAAAAAACACGAGUGUUCAAAGGGGCCUUACUGUAGGUGUACCAGGACUUACUAUACGUUCCAACAGUGCACAUUCGAGCGUAUGCAUUUAUCAUUCGUGGAGGAGCAAACCUUCUAUGUUGGUACUCUUGCUUUGUGUGAUACCGCUCGUGUAAACGUGUAUAUAUAUAUAAUACGUAUAUACAGAGAGGACUGGAG